UACGGAGGGUGCAAGCGUUGUCCGGAUUUAUUGGGUUUAAAGGGUGCGUAGGCGGCUGAUUAAGUCAGCGGUGAAAUUCCACAGCUCAACUGUGGAACUGCCAUUGAUACUGGUUAGCUUGAGUACAGAUGAGGGUAGGCGGAAUUGACAGUGUAGCGGUGAAAUGCUUAGAUAUUGUCAAGAACACCUAUUGCGAAGGCAGCUUACUAGCGUGUAACUGACGCUGAGGCACGAAAGCGUGGGGAGCAAACAGG
rnacentral:rRNA from 1 species